GUGUGUGUGUGAUGUAUAUUAAACAUGACCUGGCCAAAAUGGACAUGGCAGCAGGUCAAAAUCAAAUACAAGAACAUUCUGCAGAAUGCAGUGAAAAAGAAUACCCAGAGACAAGGCACGGGUGGUGGGUCACCAAAAGCUGACCUCACCCCAGCAGAGGCCAGCUUUGGAGCUAAAUAAAGGCAGGCCUGUUGGAGGGAAUCCCUGGGGGAAAAGAGACAAGCAUAGGUCCCUCACAAGAUGCCACCCGCUUCAUACAAGUGUCUGGCAGCACUGUGUUACUGUUAAAGCCACCAGCACGAGCACCAG